GACGAACGCUGGCGGCAUGCCUAAUACAUGCAAGUCGAGCGGACUUGAAGAGAAGCUUGCUUCUCUGAUGGUUAGCGGCGGACGGGUGAGUAACACGUAGGCAACCUGCCCUCAAGUUUGGGACAACUACCGGAAACGGUAGCUAAUACCGAAUAGUUGUUUUCUUCGCCUGAAGAGAACUGGAAAGACGGAGCAAUCUGUCACUUGGGGAUGGGCCUGCGGCGCAUUAGCUAGUUGGUGAGGUAACGGCUCACCAAGGCGACGAUGCGUAGCCGACCUGAGAGGGUGAUCGGCCACACUGGGACUGAGACACGGCCCAGACUCCUACGGGAGGCAGCAGUAGGGAAUCUUCCGCAAUGGGCGAAAGCCUGACGGAGCAAUGCCGCGUGAGUGAUGAAGGUUUUCGGAUCGUAAAGCUCUGUUGCCAGGGAAGAACGCUUGGGAGAGUAACUGCUCUCAAGGUGACGGAC
rnacentral:rRNA from 1 species